rnacentral:rRNA from 1 species
GACGUAGGGUGCGAGCGUUGUCCGGAUUUAUUGGGCGUAAAGAGCUCGUAGGCGGCUCGUCGCGUCGACCGUGAAAACCCGCAGCUUAACUGCGGGCUUGCGGUUGAUACGGGCGGGCUAGAGUUCGGUAGGGGAGACUGGAAUUCCUGGUGUAGCGGUGAAAUGCGCAGAUAUCAGGAGGAACACCGGUGGCGAAGGCGGGUCUCUGGGCCGAUACUGACGCUGAGGCGCGGAAAGCCAGGGGAGCAAACGGG